ACGUUGAAACACCGGUUCCCGUACGAUCACCGAAGUUAAGCAAUGUUGAGCCUGAUCCAUAACUAGAUGGGCGACCUCUUGCUAAUAUCAG